UACGUAGGCAGCGAGCGUUGCUCGGAAUCACUGGGCGUAAAGGGCGCGUAGGCGGGCUACCAAGUCAGGGGUGAAAUCCCCAGGCUCAACCUGGGAACUGCGUCUGAUACUGGAUGGCUUGAAUCCGGGAGAGGGAUGCAGAAUUCCAGGUGUAGCGGUGAAAUGCGUAGAUAUCAUUUGGAACGCCAAUGGUGAAGACAGGUUGCUGGGAGUAUGCUGACGCUGAGACACGAAAGCCAGGGGAGCGAACGGG
rnacentral:rRNA from 1 species